GCUCAAAAACAGUUGUUUAUUAGUUUUACACACUUAUUCUCAGAUGGAAAUGACUGAUUGUGAUUAUAAGUGUUUCUGUAAGAAACUAGCAUUGUUCUUAAUGUUUGUUCAUUUAGAUGGAUAACCAUGAAUCACUUGGUUAAUUUAAAUUUUCCUUCAGCUUUUGACAAAUCAAAAGCUGAUCCACCGAGUUUGGUUGCAGCUCCAGAGGAAGAAGACUCGGACAAUGAUGAACCUCUUUUAAGUGGUUCAGGUGAGGUGUCUAAAGAAUGUAGUGAAGUUGAAUUGCAAGGAUGGGCCGAUGUUCUUGCCAAAUGGAGAAAAGAUCUUAAUCAACGACCCAAAGGCCUAGCAGAAUUGGUUAAAAGAGGUGUACCAGAAGCCUUAAGAGGUGAAGUGUGGCAAUUAUUAGCUUGUUGUCAAGAUGACUUAGCUCUUAUGGAAGAGUAUAGAGUUUUAAUCACAAAGGAAACUCCAUUUGAACUUUUUAUCCGUAAAGAUACUAACAGAACAUUCCCCGCCAAUGAGUAUUUCAAGGAAUCUGGUUCAUCUGGACAAGAUUCACUAUAUCGGUUGUGUAAAGCAUAUUCUAUUUAUGAUCAAGAGAUUGGUUAUUGUCAAGGAUUAACUUUCAUGACGGCAGCUUUGCUUCUUCAUAUGCCAGAGGAACAAGCAUUCUGUCUUCUGGUCAAAAUCAUGAACCAAUAUGGUGUUCGUAAUUUAUUCCGUUCUGGUUUUGAGGAGUUACAGCUACGAUUUUAUCAACUAGAGAGAAUAAUGGAAGACUUGAUUCCUGAUCUACAUCAACAUUUCGUUGCAUCUGGUAUUGAAGCUCACAUGUACGCCUCCCAAUGGUUUUUAACGCUUUUCAGUGCUAAAUUUCCUCUUCAUGUUGUAUUUUAUAUACUUGACUUAUUUUUACUCCAAGGAAUGGAGACCAUUUUUCAAGUUGCCAUUGCCCUUCUACUAUUAUCCCGAAAAGAGCUUCUUUUGCUCGAUUUUGAAGGAGUACUUAAACACUUUCGUGUGCAUUUACCUAAAAGAUAUAGAGUUGAAGAAAACGCUCGUAUCCUUUUACAAACAGCUGUUAAUGUUAAAAUCAAAAAGUUGGCUAAAUACGAAAAAGAUUACCAAGCGACUAAAGCAAAUCGUGUCGAUCCAGUUGAAAGAUUGAAAAAGGAAAAUAAAAAGCUAUUAGAAAGUAACAUGAGAUUGGAGCAGGAAAACGAUGACUUAGCCCAUGACCUAGUAAAUAGUAAAAUUCAUUUACGAAGACAAUUAGACGUUUCCGAGGAUAAAGUUGACUCUCUACAGAAAGAGCUAUUAGCCACGAAAAAAUUGUUAGUUGACACCGAAGAAGAAAAGAAAAGACUGGAGGAAGAGAUAAGUCAAGUAAAAGAAGUGUUCAGAAGAGCAACAGCCAAAACUGAUGUUGAUAUUAAAAGAGAUGCCAAGAUAAUCGGACAAUACAAGGAGAUAUGUUCCAAAUUAAGUGAAAGACUUGAACAAGAACAGAGUAGUCUGAACGAAAAGCUCGAUUCAUUGGCUGUAUUGUGUAAAACAUGUGAAACCUGUAGUUCAACCAUCAGUAAAUUUAUUUCUGGAGAGAAAGAAGGUCAAGAUAAAGUUCGGCAGCAAAAGAUGGAGAAUGGUGAAGCUUUUGAUGGAACAUCUCAUCCACUUGCCCCCUCAUCAUCGCAAAGUGACGCGUCGAUGGAGUCGAAACUAAGAGAACUUGAAUUGGAACUAGCGCAAACUAAAUUAGCUUUGGUUGAAGCUGAAUGCCAAAAUCAAGAGCUUAUUCAUCAAUUGACAAAUGCCCAAGCUGAAACUCAGCAAGCGAAAAAUUCGUGGUUUAAUAAAACACUCUCGUCAAUUCGUGAAGUAACCAAGAAAGAGUUCAAAGAUAAAGAACGAGGCAAAGAUAUUGGAUCAGUUUCACGGCAAGGUAGUCGCGAAUUUCCGUCCUGAGAAAGGAACUUCUAGCCCGGUGUACAACAGAUUAAAAUUUCUCAAGACUAUCUUUAUUAUUAAAUGCUGCAUUUUAAUAAGCAACUUAAUUUAAAUAGCCCAUAAUCACAAUUACUAACUGAUACAACAAAAAAUACAAAUUUCUUUACAACCAUUAUAAUUAUAAUUACAAGAAUGAAUCAAUCAAUAAUGACCACCGUUAUUAUCAAAAUUUAUUUUAUCCUUAAUGUGUAUAACAUCAAAACAUAAACAUAUUUGAGAUAGUU